rnacentral:other from 3 species
GCAUUACUGCCCAGUGCGAGACAUUGCGGUUUUUAUAAUCCAACACUCCUUUAUAGGGAAUCUGACUCCGUCUGUGGAUUGCAGACCUCCUGCUUGCGGCAAUGACCGUAACGGACGAAGGGAGCGUGAAGCAGAAGGGAAGAUACCCACCUUGCUAGAUAUAGCUUGGUUUUAUUCGCUGCAAGACGGCUGGGUGGUUUUUUG